rnacentral:rRNA from 1 species
AGCAGCCGCGGUAAUUCCAGCUCCAAUAGCGUAUAUUAAAGUUGUUGCAGUUAAAAAGCUCGUAGUUGAACUUCGGGAUCAAUGGAUUGGUCAUGCCGAUGGUAUGAACUGGUCAUAUUGGUUCUCACCUUCUAAGGAACCAUGAUGUCAUUUAUUUGAUGUUGUGGGGAAUUAGGACUGUUACCUUGAAAAAUUAGAGUGUUUAAAGCAGGCUAACGCUUGAAUACAUUAGCAUGGAAUAAUGAAAUAGGACAUCGCAUUCUAUUUUGUUGGUUUCUAGGAUCGAUGUAAUGAUUAAUAGGGAUAGUUGGGGGCAUUAGUAUUCAAUUGUCAGAGGUGAAAUUCUUGGAUUUAUUGAAGACUAACUACUGCGAAAGCAUUUGCCAAGGAUGUUUUCAUUAAUCAAGAACGAAAGUUAGGGGAUCGAAGACGAUCAGAUACCGUCGUAGU